rnacentral:rRNA from 1 species
GUAAAGGGCGUGUAGGCGGUCAUAUAAGUCCGAUGCUAAAGACUGAGGCUCAACCUCAGGGGUGCGUUGGAUACUGUGUGACUAGACGAUCGGAGAGGGUAGCGGAAUUCUCGGAGUAGCGGUGAAAUGCGCAGAUACCGAGAGGAACGCCAAUAGCGAAAGCAGCUACCUGGACGAUAUUGUGACGCUGAGGCGCGAAAGCGUGGGGAGCAAACCGGAUUAGAUACCCGGGUAGUCCACGCCCUAAACGAUGAGUGCUGGGUGUCCGGCUUUUGCUGGGUGCCGAAGCUAACGCGAUAAGCACUCCACCUGGGAAGUACGGUCGCAAGACUGAAACUCAAAGGAAUUGACGGGGGCCCGCACAAGCGGUGGAGCAUGUGGUUUAAUUCGAAGCGACGCGAAGAACCUUACCAGGUCUUGACAUCUAGACAAUCCCGAUGAAAGUUGGGAGUGCCCGCAAGGGAGCUCUAAGACAGGUGCUGCAUGGUCGUCGUCAGCUCGUGUCGUGAGAUGUUGGGUUAAGUCCCGCAACGAGCGCAACCCUUAUCCCUAGUUGCCAGCAGGUAAGGCUGGGCACUCUAAGGAGACUGCCCACGAAAGUGGGAGGAAGGCGGGGAUGACGUCUGAUCCGCAUGGCCCUUACGACCUGGGCUACACACGUGCUACAAUGGGUGGAUCAAAGCGAAGCUACCUUGCAAGAGGACGCCAAUCGCAUAACCCCAUCCUCAGUUCGGAUUGAGGUCUGCAACCCGGCCUCAUGAAGCUGGAAUCGCUAGUAAUCGCAGAUCAGCCAUGCUGCGGUGA